CCGUGCCGGGACUCGCUCCGUGCUGCUGCUGCCGUGCGAGCGAGCGUGCGGGCGAUUCCCGGCGCGGCGGAGCCCGGGAGCCGGGAUUUGCCCGGCGGCACGGACGGGCCCGGCUGCAGGCCAGGAGCGGGAUGCCCACGCAGCGAACAGCCCCCCUCGGCCUGUGUAUCCCCGGGCUCUCUGCCCCCCACUCAAGCUGGGCGCCCUUGAAUUGUAUCGCCUAGUUGAAGUUUAAUAUUUGGGGAUAGGGAGGAGAGUUUCGGCUUCUGUUGUGGCGUCUUUUCUUUUCCUAGCUCGGGACGGGCAGCCGGGGAGGGGAGGCAGCCGCAGCCCCGCCGCUCGGAGGAGCCGAGCGCGGUCGUCUCGUCGCCUGCCCGGUGCCACGGCCCAAAGGGUGACAGCAAGGACGGUGCGCAGGGCUCCGGCCUGUGUCUCUCCAGAGAAAGGACUUUCCAGAGAAACAAAUCAAGAAAAAAUAACUGACUUAAUUUCCCUCCACCCAGCAACAGUUCUUCAUAGCUGUACACAGGGACCAUGGAGCAGCAAGAAGGGUUGUGUGGGACAGAGGCUCCUCGGGUGCUCCCACUGGCAGUAAGUAUCCAGCCCCAAACUGGAACACACCAGAAGUUUACAACCAUGUGAACUCUGGAGAAAAAUCUUAAUAACUCUUGCAUCCAGCCCUCUUCUGUGCUGUGUUUAAUUUGCUCUUUCUCUUUUUCCGAUCCAUUGCUGUGUGUUUCUUCCAUCUCUCCUACCUUUUCUUCUCUUUUUUGCUGUUCCAGUAUUUUCACCACAUCCUUCCCUCUUCUGCAAUGUCCUGAUUUUGGCUGGGAUAAUUUUCUUCCUAGUAGCUGGUACGUUGCUGUGUUUUGAAUUUAGGGUGAGAAGGCUGUGGAUAGCACACUGUUUCAGUUGCUGCUGAG
rnacentral:lncRNA from 1 species